UACGUAGGGUGCAAGCGUUGUCCGGAUUUAUUGGGCGUAAAGAGCGUGUAGGCGGCUAGGUAGGUCCGUUGUGAAAACUCGAGGCUCAACCUCGAGACGUCGAUGGAAACCAUCUAGCUAGAGUCCGGAAGAGGAGAGUGGAAUUCCUGGUGUAGCGGUGAAAUGCGCAGAUAUCAGGAGGAACACCAAUGGCGAAGGCAGCUCGCUGGGACGGUACUGACGCUGAGGCGCGAAAGCGUGGGUAGCAAACAGG
rnacentral:rRNA from 1 species